UUGAGGUCAUGAUACUCCAACUGUUUUCAAUGGGGCUCAAGUCAGGACUGCAUCAGUCCAGUUUCUCAGCAGCAGGACUCUUCUCCAACAGAGCUAUGCUGUUGUAAUCCCUGUUGUCAGAAUGUGGUUUGGGAUCAUAUGAAGGUCUUCCCUGAAGAAGUCUUUGGAUGGACGCAGAUGUUGAUCCUAAACCUGGAGAUAUUGUUUAAAACUGAGGAUGCAGCAUCUAUGAUUUCCUUUUCUUCAUUGAAAGGGUAACUGGACUUACAAGUUAGUUCAGUUACCCAUUCCAAAAGCCUGUUAGAUUUUGAUUAAUCAGACCUCAGGACAGUUCAUGGACAAGUGAUAUUAAACCCAUGCGGUGACUCCAACUAUAGAGUCCUGAUGUUCCUAAACCUGGAGAUAUUGUUCAGUGUUAAUGGGGCCUUCACAGAUGUGAAAGAUACACACGACAUGGACUCUGAUGAUACUCAUGCCAUCAGGGAUGCUGGAUUUGGAUUAGGAGCUGAGAACUAGCCAUGUGAACUCUCAAAUCUUUAGAGAGGAGGAUGCAGAGUCCAGGAUUUCCGAAAGUCAGAUUUUGAUCCAUCAGACCUCAGGACAGUUUUCCCCUCAGUCCACCUUAACUGAGCUCAGGUCCAUAGAAGUCUGGUGUUUCUGGAUCCUUUUCUAUGCCCAGUUUUAACCUCAUUUGUGAAUUUCAGGGGAGCAACACCAGGAAACCUGACCUUAAAAAUCUAAGAAAGUCUUUCAGGAUUUCCAAAAAGACUGUCAAAGCUUGAUUUAUCAGACCAUGGGACAGUUUUCACCUCUCUGUGAAACAUCGUCUACCAGACUCUAAACUCAGAGAUCCAGUGCUGCUGUACCAGGGGAAGCUGCUGUUUGGACUUACAGUCCUCACAGCGAGGACAGGGAUCCCACCAUCUGAGCGCUAUGUUAAGAUCUCUUACUUCACAAGUCCUUCAGGCAUCAGCCGGAGAAAACUGAGUUAGCUGACCUAACACAAGGCAGAUGUCGGGGCUCUGAUCAGACACAGAUGGAAGCUCUUUGACUAUUUUCAGAGAGGCUGUUGAUUGGAUUAGAACUCAGAAGAGGGAUUGGAGGACAACUGAAAACUAAAUGAAGAUAAGGGGGCUAUCUCAGGUGGACCAGAGGGAGGUGCUCAGCUGUUUGAUCCAGUAUAGUUACAGCUUUUAGACUUUAAACCCCUGAAACACAUGGCCUGUCCAAAAAAAACCCCACCACCUGGAUCUUACUAGGCAAAGAUGCUUGAGUGGUCUGAUGGAGAAUUACCACAAAGGUCAAAAUGCUUCAGAGGACAGAUGUGUGGAUGUGGCAAAGAUGUGGACACUUAUCAAGAGACCUGAAGAAAAGAAAUAAGAGGAAGUGUGAAACCGGUCUUUUAACUUGGGGGCAGAGAUGAACAGAGUUGUGCUGUCUGUAAACACUCCUAAGUGUCGAUGUGAGCGCUCUCUAACUGUAAAAACUGAAUCAAUGUAAGAGAGGGCUUUACAGAUUAAUCAAGUGUUGAAAGUGUCCUGAAGAUGGCCGUCCAGGAGAUGAAAUAGGAGAAGAAUGUCUGUCCAGCUUAUAAUCUUAGAAAAAUGAUCUUUAGUGAAACAGCAUCUAAAGGUAUUUCAGACAGUAAAAAGGUGACUCACGUACCGGCAGAAGGUCAUUUAAACAGAGCACAACAUGUCAGAGUGAGGAGGGUAAGAUCACAGUGUCCUAAAAUGUACACUGAACUGACAGACAGGAGGACAGAUGGACAUAAACACUGAAACAGUGUUAAAAACAGCACCCCUGUCCACCACUUACCACCACAAUAACAGAGUAAUGAUCAUACACCUUUAUACUGGUUAUCAUUCAAUUAUGAUUCAAUCAAGGAAUAAAAAUGUAAAAUUAGUUCAUCAUAGUUUUGGUGUUUUCUAUAAAUCAAGUCUUUAGAUGAUUAACAAACCAUCAAAUACUUUUUGUUUUUCAACAUGUUAAACAGUGUCACAACUCUUCAUCACUGACAUCAUCAUCAUGGCGGUGCAGCCUUUGACUGCGUUUCCCUGCAGCCUCCAUCUGUCCCUGUUCCAGACCUCCACCCUAAUGGAAGCUUGAGCC
rnacentral:lncRNA from 1 species